CCUACGGGAGGCAGCAGUAGGGAAUUUUCGUCAAUGGGGGAAACCCUGAACGAGCAAUGCCGCGUGAGUGAAGAAGGUCUUCGGAUCGUAAAGCACUGUUGUAAGUGAAGAACGGCUCAUAGAGGAAAAGCUAUGGGAGUGACGGUAGCUUACCAGCAAGCCACGGCUAACUACGUGCCAGAAGCCGAGGUAAUACGUAGGUGGCAAGCGUUAUCCGGAAUGAUUGGGCGUAAAGGGUGCGUAGGUGGCGUACUAAGUCAGUAGUAAAAUGCAAUGGAUCAACCACUGUAAGCAAUGGACACUGGUAUGCUGGAGUGCAGAAGAGGGCGAUGGAAUUCCAGGUGUAGCGGUAAAAUGCGGAGAUAUAUGGAGGAACACCAGUGGCGAAGGCGGUAGCCUGGUCUGCAACUGACACUGAGGCACGAAAGCGUGGGGAGCAAAUAGGAUUAGAUACCCCGGUAGUC
rnacentral:rRNA from 1 species